CUGGUGAUGUUACUGCAACAAGACCCACUGACAGGCUUUGGCCAGACCCUGCUGUCCUGUCUGAUUCACCACAGAGUGCACAAAGGAGGAUCUUCAGCAAGGUUUGCUCUGAAAGAGUUAAUGCAUUUUACAAGGAAAGCUGCCAUCCCUCAAGGUCAUUUUAUCUCUUAGUUACAUGAAUUCUAGGAAAGCAAAGAUUCCUUCCAAGACCCUCCAGAAAAGUGGACCUACCUUGAAGACCUGAGCCCUUCCGAGGAUGGGAGAUGCUACUAAUAGAUGGAAAUUGUGGAUGCAAAUCCUUUCAUGUUGGAUGAAACUCCACAUUGAGAGGCUUGAGGAAUGAAGCUACUGGAGAAAUUGAAAAGGAUGACUCCUGGUACCCAAGUGGAAGAUGGAAGCUAAACUUUGUCUAAUCAAGACUCUAUGAAAUGGG